rnacentral:rRNA from 1 species
GAUGAACGCUAGCGGCGGGCUUAAUACAUGCAAGUCGAGGGGCAGCACGAUGUAGCAAUACAUUGGUGGCGACCGGCGGACGGGUGCGUAACACGUAUGCAACUUGCCCUAUACUGGAAGAUAGCCCGAAGAAAUUCGGAUUAAUAUUCCAUAAUAUCAGGAUAAGCAUUUAUCUUGGUUCAAAGCUCCGGCGGUAUAGGAUGGGCAUGCGGUCGAUAGCUUGUUGGUGAGGUAACGGCUCACCAAGGCGACGAUCGAUAGGGGGCCUGAGAGGGUGAUCCCCCACACUGGUACGUGAGAC